rnacentral:rRNA from 1 species
UACGUAGGGUGCAAGCGUUGUUCGGAAUUACUGGGCGUAAAGCGCGUGUAGGCGGCUAGGUAAGUCCGAUGUGAAAUCCCAAGGCUCAACCUUGGAAUUGCAUUGGAAACUGCCUGGCUAGAGUCUGGAAGAGGAGGGUGGAAUUCCUGGUGUAGCGGUGAAAUGCGUAGAUAUCAGGAAGAACACCCGUGGCGAAGGCGGCCCUCUGGGAGAGUACUGACGCUGAGACGCGAAAGCGUGGGGAGCAAACAGG